AGUAGAAUCCCGUGGUGUGGAUGUAACACAUUGUGUUUAACCAUUCACCCACUGAGGGACGACAGGGUUGUUUCCAGUUUGCGGCUAUUCCUAGAUUGUGCAUUUAUUUGGUUUAGAAAGGACUCUUACAUAGAUCUCACCUCUUCUAUACAAUAGCUUUUGGGAGACAGGGAAUGUAACAGUUGUAAAAAAGGGGAUUCCUGAUGUCACGUAGGUGGUCUGCAGCACAGCCGGCACUCACAUCAUCUGAACGAAUGCACUUGGCUGCUUUACAACACCCUUCUGCUUCCUCAGCGCUGCGAUCGCCACCCGUGACUGGCGCCUGCAGCCGACAGUGGAUGGGGCGCCCUGUCUAUCACUGGAUGCUUCCUGUUGAUCAAGCUUUGAGGAUCAAGGUGUUCGCAGAUCAUCUCCUCUAAUCUGGACUGGGCUGAUUCAAAUAUGCCUGAUCCAAGCUGAAGUUCUGCGGUUACUCAUCCAGGGAGAGGAGGACCCUGCAUGGGACACGAGGUGUGUGUCCCUUUAACUGCCACAGUCGUCCUAUCGUGUGGCUAGUAUUGGUACUCUUUUCAGUUGAGGACCAUAGGGUUUAGAGAGGUUAAAUGAUUUCCCCAGAUCCCACAGCUAGUGAGUGUGGGAGCCAAGAGUUGAGCCCAGUCAGACACCAAAGCCUUUCCAAUCUGUCUCCCCUUCUGAUGCCAGCACUGGAAACUGCACUUUGGCGAUAACCAACUCCAACCUCUCUAAGAGACAGGGGCCAGGCGGCUUUGUGCUGUACUGGACCUGGAAUAGAAUCUCAGAACCAAGUUCAGGGUUGCAAAAAGUGAUCUCAGCAAUGGGCCAGGGAGGGCACCAUGCAGAGCUGCCCUGCCUUCUGUCGCUUGCUCCUAGCUGGACAGAAAAUGGAGAAGGGUGAUCUCUUCCUUGCUCUUGCCCACAAGAGCACUUGACCCACUAGGAGGAGAGAAGAGAACUUUCUUGAUGGGAACUUCUAUGGAGGCUUUCUCUAAGUUCAAAUCCCUGUAAACAUCAAUAAUUCUGUACAAUUUCAAUUGCAG
rnacentral:lncRNA from 13 species